UGGAGUAUAGCCAAGUGGUAAGGCAUCGGUUUUUGGUACCGGUAUACAAAGGUUCGAAUCCUUUUACUCCAG
rnacentral:ncRNA from 15 species